rnacentral:rRNA from 1 species
UACGUAGGUGGCGAGCGUUGUCCGGAUUUACUGGGCGUAAAGAGCCCGCAGGCGGUCCGUUAAGUUUCAGGGGAAAUCUCCCGGCUCAACCGGGAGGGUGCCUGGAAAACUGGCGGACUUGAGGCAGGGAGAGGGAUGUGGAAUUCCCGGUGUAGUAGUGAAAUGCGUAGAUAUCUGGAGGAACACCGGUGGCGAAGGCGGCAUCCUGGACCAACACUGACGCUGAGGAGCGAAAGCCAGGGGAGCAAACGGG